CCUACGGGUGGCAGCAGUGAGGAAUAUUGGUCAAUGGGCGCGAGCCUGAACCAGCCAAGUAGCGUGAAUGAUGACUGCCCUACGGGUUGUAAACUUCUUUUAUAAGGGAAUAAAGUGAGGUACGUGUGCCUUUUUGUAUGUACUUUAUGAAUAAGGAUCGGCUAACUCCGUGCCAGCAGCCGCGGUAAUACGGAGGGUCCGAGCGUUAUCCGGAUUUAUUGGGUUUAAAGGGAGCGUAGAUGGGUUGUUAAGUCCGUUGUGAAAGUUUGCGGCUCAACCGUAAAAUUGCAAUUGAUACUGGCAGACUUGAGUACAGUUGAGGUAGGCGGAAUUCGUGGUGUAGCGGUGAAAUGCUUAGAUAUUACGAAGAACUCCGAUUGCGAAGGCAGCCUACUAAACUGCCACUGACAUUGAUGCUCGAAAGUGUGGGUAUCAAACAGGAUUAGAUACCCGAGUAGUC
rnacentral:rRNA from 1 species